rnacentral:rRNA from 1 species
GUCGAAUGCUGGCGGCGUGUCUAAGGCAUGCAAGUCGAACGAUCCCUUCGGGGAUAGUGGCAAACGGGAGAGUAACACAUUGGUAACUUACCCUGAACUCGCGAACAACCCAUGGAAACGUGGGCUAAUACGCGAUAUCGAUGGGGGACGGCAAGUCAUUCCCACUUGAAAGUUACCGACGGUUCAGGAGAGGCCUAUGUCCUAUCAGCUAGUUGGUGAGGUAAAAGACUCACCAAGGCUACGACGGGUACCGGGCGUGAGAGCGUGACCGGCCUCACUGGGACGUGAGACACUGCCCAGACUCCUACGGGAGGCUGCAGUCGAGAAUCUUCCGCAAUGCACGAAAGUGUGACGGAGCGACGCCGCGUGUCGGAUGAAGGCC